UCCAAAUACGGUCAUUAAAUCUAGGAGUAAAAAGGGGUUAUAAACAUGAAUAAGAUACUAACUAGAGAUAAAUUACCAAGUCAUUCAAGCAGUUUUGUGCAAAUUCUUGUAACAUAACAGCAAACCAAACAAAUAAGUAAGCAUAACGGUAAGUAAUGCGCUAGACAACUAAUUAACUAUAAUGUCUCGUUUUAUCCGGACACGUAUCUAGAAAUAGGGAAUAGGAAAAGAGAAUAGGUGUAGUGUCAAAGAAAUAUAUAUGAUCAAUUCCAUGUGAGGGAUAUGCAAGCUCCAUGUUGUAGCGGUGUCGUUGAGUCUCAAAAGGAGACUCGUC
rnacentral:lncRNA from 1 species